rnacentral:tRNA from 2 species
GCCCAGGUGGUGGAAUGGUAGACACGGAGGACUCAAAAUCCUCUGCCCUCACAGGUGUAAGGGUUCAAGUCCCUUCCUGGGUACCA